rnacentral:rRNA from 1 species
AUCAACGCUGCGGCGUGCCUAACACAUGCAGUCGAACGGGAAAACGGGGGCAACUCCGUGAGUAUAGUGGCGUACGGGUGAGUAACACGUGACUACCUACCUUUGAUGGGGGAUAACCCCGGGAAACCGGGGCUAAUACCGCAUAACAUCGCAAGAUCAAAGAAGCAAUUCGCUUAAAGAGGGGGGUCGCGGCUGAUUAGCUAUGUGGUAGGGUAAUGGCCUACCAAGGCGAUGAUCGGUAGCCGGCCUGAGAGGGCGCACGGCACACUGGAACUGAAACACCGUCCAGACUCCUACGGGAGGCAGCAGUGGGGAAUUUUGCGCAAUGGGGGGAAAACCCUGACGCAGCAACGCCGCGUGGAGGAUGAAGUCCCUUGGGACGGAAACUCCUUUCGACCGGGACGAUUAUGACGGUACCGGUGGAAGAAGCCCCGGCUAACUUCGUGCCAGCAGGCCGCGGUAAUACGAGGGGGGCAAGCGUUGUUCGGAAUUAUUGGGCGUAAGGGCGCGUAGGCGGUGCGGUAAGUCACCUGUGAAAACUCUGGGGCUCACUCAGAGCCUGCAGGCGAAACUGCCGUGCUUGAGUGUGGGAGAGGUGCGUGGAAUUCCGGUGUAGCGGUGAAAUGCGUAGAUAUCGGGAGGAACACCUGUGGCGAAAGCGGCGCACUGGACCACACUGACGCUGAGGAGCGAAAGCUAGGGGGAGCAACAGAUUAGAUACCCUGGUAGUCCUAGCCCUAACUAUGGAUGCUUGGUGUGUCGGGUACCCAAUCCCGACGUGCCGCAGCUAACGCGUUAAGCACCCGCCUGGGGAGUACGGGUCGCAAGGCUGAAACUCAAAGGAAUUGACGGGGCCACGCACAAGCGGUGGAGCAUGUGGUUCAAGUCGACGCAACGCGAAGACCCUUACCUGGGGCUCGAAGCGCAGUGGACCGGGGUGGAAACAUCCCUUUCCGCAAGGACUGCUGCGGAGGUGCUGCAUGGCUGUCGUCAGUCGUGUCGUGAGAUGUUGGGUUAAGUCCCGCAACGAGCGCAACCCUUAUCGUUAGUUCGCAUCAGGUCAAGCUGGGCACUCUAGCGAAACCGCCUCGGAUAACGGGAGGAAGGUGGGGAUGACGUCAAGUCCUCAUGGCCUUUAUGUCCAGGGCUACACACGUGCUACAAUGGUCGGUACAAACCGUCGCAACCCGCGAGGGGGGAGCUAAUCGGAAAAAGCCGGCCUCAGUUCGGAUUGGAGUCUGCAACUCGACUCCAUGAAGCUGGAAUCGCUAGUAAUCGCAGAUCAGAACGCUGCGGUGAAUACGUUCCCGGGCCUUGUACACACCGCCCGUCACAUCACGAAAGUGGGUGAUACUAGAAGGCCGUCCCGCCAACCCGCAAGGGGGGCAGACGUCCAAGGUAUGACUCAUGAUUGGGGUG